rnacentral:rRNA from 1 species
UACGUAGGUGGCAAGCGUUGUCCGGAAUUAUUGGGCGUAAAGAGCUCGUAGGCGGCCUGUUGCGUCCGCUGUGAAAGCCCGGGGCUUAACCCCGGGUCUGCAGUGGAUACGGGCAGGCUAGAGGUAGGUAGGGGAGAAUGGAAUUCCCGGUGUAGCGGUGAAAUGCGCAGAUAUCGGGAGGAACACCGGUGGCGAAGGCGGUUCUCUGGGCCUUACCUGACGCUGAGGAGCGAAAGCGUGGGGAGCGAACAGG